GUAGAAGUGCUUCAGUUGGUGCAAGAGUUAAAAUGCAUCACUGAAUUUUGGAGUAAAAUCUCUUUGCCCAUGAAUGUUGACGUUGAAAAUUGCAUGCAAUCGUUUCUCUCUUAAGACUUUUCUCCUCCCUUCAACAAGUAGCACUGUUAACAAGUACAAAUUUACUUAAUUUCAGUUUUCAAUUUAUAGGCUUCGUUCAAAUUAGCUUGUCAUCUGUGAUCUCUUUUCAAUCACAAGAACUCUUACGUUGGUUGAUCAGGGUUCACACAUGGGUGAAUCUGGUGCAAAGUGACAAAGGUAUUGGUCAUCAUUAAAUAAGGAUCAUCGAAAGGGAAGGUUAGGUAGGGAGAGUUGACUAGACAAUUCAUCUAUAGAUGUUCAAAAUAUUGAUCAAUUAUAGUUGUAAGAAUUUAUAAGGCUUAGAAGAUGAGGCUUAGCUUAGUCUAAAUUUCCUAAUCAACAUAUUGUUAUUCCCUUCUAGUGGCCCAUUAACUCACAUAUGAUUACGGGUUAAGACUUGAAACAACAUUUGAAAUGGCUUACCUUGUGUAAUGUCGGUGAGCUGAGAUUCCUAGAUCCACUUCUGGCCAAAGGAAAUGGUGGUCUUGCAAGUUGACCUAGCAGCUUAAAUCCCGCUCUAGAUUGAGAUAAACUAAGGACCUGGCACUCUCUCUGUCCUUUUAGGCCAACACUACCCUUGUAGCUAAAACUAAGUGCUCAGUACAAGUGGUGAUACUGUGAUCACAGUUUUUGACCUGCCUCAUUUCAGAUUUCAUAUAAGUCUAGCCUGCUAAGAAGACAGAAGACAGUG
rnacentral:lncRNA from 1 species